AUUGAACGCUGGCGGCAGGCCUAACACAUGCAAGUCGAACGAGUGGCGGACGGGUGAGUAAUGUCUGUGAAACUGCCCGAUGGAGGGGGAUAACUACUGGAAACGGUAGCUAAUACCGCAUACCCUCGGAUGUGCCCGGAUGGGAUUAGCGAGGAGGGGGGGUAACGGCGCACCUAGGGGACGCUCCCCAGCUGGUCUGAGAGGAUGACAAGCCAAACGGAAACUGCGAAACGGUCAAGACUCCUACGGGAGGCAGAAGUGGGGAAUAUGGAAAAAUGGGCGAAAGCCUGAAGCAGCCAGGCCGCGUGUAUGAAGAAGGCCUUCGGGUUGUAAAGUACUUUCGGCGAGGAGGCGUUACUCGCAGAAGAAGAACCGGCUAACUCCGUGCAAGAACCGCGGUAAUUC
rnacentral:rRNA from 1 species